rnacentral:rRNA from 1 species
GAUGAACGCUGGCGGCGUGCCUAAUACAUGCAAGUCGAGCGAACGGACGAGAAGCUUGCUUUUCUGAUGUUAGCGGCGGACGGGUGAGUAACACGUGGAUAACCUACCUAUAAGACUGGGAUAACUUCGGGAAACCGGAGCUAAUACCGGAUAAUAUUUUGAACCGCAUGGUUCAAAAGUGAAAGACGGUCUUGCUGUCACUUAUAGAUGGAUCCGCGCUGCAUUAGCUAGUUGGUAAGGUAACGGCUUACCAAGGCAACGAUGCAUAGCCGACCUGAGAGGGUGAUCGGCCACACUGGAACUGAGACACGGUCCAGACUCCUACGGGAGGCAGCAGUAGGGAAUCUUCCGCAAUGGGCGAAAGCCUGACGGAGCAACGCCGCGUGAGUGAUGAAGGUCUUCGGAUCGUAAAACUCUGCUAUUAGGGAAGAACAUAUGUGUAAGUAACUGUGCACAUCUUGACGGUACCUAAUCAGAAAGCCACGGCUAACUACGU